GGAAGGAUACACGAUACAGUGGGUGGGCCGAUAGCCCGGGUGGGGACGGCGCCCAGCUGUCAAAACCCCACAGCUGACCUCGGCCGCCCUGCCGAUGAGCUCCGAGGACUAGCGCAGACGGCGGAGGCCCACGUUGGAAGGUUCCCCGUGUACCGCGGCAUCUCCGGGCUGGGCGAGUCUCUCACAGAGGCAGUCAGUCGACCUCCAGCUCCUGUGGCUUCCGGUGAUGUUCAGCAACUUUGAUUCCUGGACGCAGCUUGCCUGUGACUCCCUCCCCAGCCUGCGGUCUGUCCUUUCCUCGGCCUGAGCUCCCCUGGUCUUUCGAUGGCUUCACCUUGACCUACUGUCACCAACAGCACAAUCGACACCAGAACCGCUAAAAAAUAAAGUAAAAUAAAAUCAUUUGUAAUUUGUGCCACUUCUCUAGAU
rnacentral:lncRNA from 1 species